rnacentral:tRNA from 1 species
GAAAUAUGUGGGAACAAGUAAAAGCUGCUAACUUAUUACUUUAGCGGUUAAAUUCCGUUUAUAUUUUU